UUAGAUUAGCUAGUUGGUAAGGUAAUGGCUUACCAAGGCUAUGAUCUAUAGCUGGUCUGAGAGGACGAUCAGCCACACUGGAACUGAGAUACGGUCCAGACUCCUACGGGAGGCAGCAGUGGGGAAUAUUGGACAAUGGGCGAAAGCCUGAUCCAGCUAUGCCGCGUGAGUGAAGAAGGCCUUCUGGUUGUAAAACUCUUUCAAUAGGGAAGAUAAUGACGGUACCUAUAGAAGAAGUCCCGGCAAACUCUGUGCCAGCAGCCGCGGUAAUACGGAGGGGGCAAGCGUUGUUCGGAAUUAUUGGGCGUAAAGGGCACGUAGGUGGACUAGUAAGUUAAAAGUGAAAUACCAAAGCUUAACUUUGGAGCGGCUUUUAAUACUGCUAGACUAGAGGUCGAAAGAGG
rnacentral:rRNA from 1 species